rnacentral:ncRNA from 1 species
AUAGGGGUGCUCUUAUGUGGCUCAGAAUGAGCACAAAGAAGCUGAGAACAUACCCUUUAGAACUUGAACGGGAUAAUGCCCGCGUAAGGAAUGAAUUA